rnacentral:lncRNA from 1 species
AAUUCUUUUUUUUUUUUUUUGUACCAGGGAAUCAAACUCAGGACCUUGCAUUUGCGAGGCAAGCAAAGGAACCACUGAGCUAAAUCUCCGGCCCUUAUUAUAUCUAAUUCUUAACUGAAGUGGUCUUUCAUAUCAGAUCCGCUGGGCCAGCAGCUUUGCCACUAUAGUGGAGAUCUCUUUCGUAAGUGGACUUCUCCCUGUGAUGUACCCUGGACUUCAGGUAUGAUUCAGUGUACAGGCACUCACUCUGUCUAUUCAAAGGACUAGGACCAAUCCCUAUUAUUCCCUCAUGAGGAGAAAACAGCUGCCAGUAGUAUUAACAUCCAAAGAACCAAUCAUACAUCAACGCAUAACUUAAAACUUGUUUAAAAAGUUUUUGACUCUUUUGGUAUCUCAGAAAGAUGAAGGAAGAAGAAUAGUGACAAAGGAUUGACUGAGAAAUAGGGAAAGAAAAGAAGGAGAAAAUAAAAUGAAAUGAAAAAGGAAAAAAAUGAAAAAUAGGUUUUGAUGAUAUUAUUUUUAUGCUAGAACAGAAGUGAGGUGGGAGAGGAGUUUUGAGAAGAUACGUAUAGGGGAAGACAGAAAGAAGAGAAGGAAGCAUGAGUGGGAAGUGUGAGAGGCUUGAUGGAUGUUGGAACUAAUUAAUGGACUAGCAGUAAUCCAGUGUCGGAAGACUUGAAAAGCAACUCAGGGUGGAAGAGAACCCAACAGGGCCUGCUCCUGUGCUGGCUCCCAAUCCAGCUUCUUGGAACUGCAAGGCAACAGGUCAGGGUUGGAGAAGACUUCCCAGGCUGGCUGGAGUUCUUCAGCUGCUGAAUCACCAACAGGCUCUACCAGGGAAAGAUCCUUCAAGCACAGGCUAGUCAGCCUCCAACUGCCACAGAGCAGAAGUACCCACCGCUCAGAGGAAAAGGAACCAGCUGACAGUGACAAGAGCUGCCAGGACCACUCAUCAGAGCCUUGCAGUGGUCUGAGAAGCUUGCAGUGGGACCAGUGAUCCAACUUGCCUCAUUACCCGGGAUUCUGUGUCCCCUCAGAAGUUCUUCCUUCUAUCUUUAUUUUUUCCAUCUGUGCCUGCCUGUCUGUCUUUUUAUAUUAAUUCAAAGCAUCUGAGUUUAACACGAAGUCUAUCUAUAAAGUAACAAGACUUAUGAGUCACAAACAAAGUCCAUCCCCAGGGUUUUAGAGUCGGGGGCUUAAGGAGAUGCAGGAGCCUAACAGAGUGAUCACAGGACUUUCUCCUGGUCCAUAGCCUGACUUUAGGCCCUGACCUAUUCUUCUGGGCCAUGGGUUUGUUUGGCCACAUGUAGCAAAGCUGUGGAUACUGCAAAUGUACUUGGUCAUGUGGGAAGAGUCUCAUUUGUUGGCUCUGCAGACAAAUCAGUAAGGGGCAAGGCAUGUGUUCACAUGGUUCUGAGGUAGAGGGUGUCCUAUGUCCUUUGGUGCUAUCAGUUUAAGGAAUUUUAAAAGAAAACUAUAGUUGGAAUCAUACAGGCAGAGGCAGUAUCUGUGGGAAGAUGGGAUGGGAGCUCCCCAUCAAUCUUGUUCUUGCCAUUUUCCCUAUUUACCAUUUUAGCUUUUGUUGGGAAAGGGCAGACAUGAGAAGCAAAAGAAAGGAGCUGGAAAAGAGGACAUUUUUUGCUAGUCAGUUCUAGUGAGAACAGGAGAACCACAGGAAGAAUGAAGAGGGCAGUGUUCCAUGUCAAAAAUUUAGGUAAGAGCACAGAGACAAAGAGUGAUGGACGAUCUAUAUUCAGAGAAUUCUGCAGUAUUACCUAAAAUCCAGUCCUACCUCAAUGAAGAUGGUUUAGGAAUCAAAACCAGCUGAAGAAGUGUUAUAGCCACUUUAAAAGACUGUUCGGCGGUUCCAUAUGAAACAAAACACAUUCUUACCACAUGAUCAGGCAAUUGAACUCCUUGGUAUUUAUCCAAAAGAGUUGAAAGGUAAUGUCCACCAAAAAUAAACAAACAAACAAACCUACACAUGAAUAUUUUUAGCCACUUUAUUCAGAAUUGUCAAAACUUGGAAGCAAUCAAAAUAUCCCCCAAUAGAUAAGUGGGUAAGGAAGUGGUGGUACCUUCAUAUAAUGGGAUAUUAUACAGCAAUAAAAAGAAAUGGGCCCUCAAUGUACCAGAAGACAUGGAGAAAUCUUAGAUACAUAACAUUCUGGAAAAGGCAAAGCUGUAGAUACAGUUAAAAAAAAAAAAGAUCAGUGAUUGGCAUUUAGGAGGAAGAAGAGGGUGAGGGGGAACCUUGAGGAUUUUCAGGGCAGUGAAUCUACUCUGUAUGUGGAUUAUAAUGGUCAUUAUCCAUCUGUCCAGACCCAGGUGAUGUAUACUACCAAGACUGAACCCUCACGUAAACUAGGGGAUUUUGUUUAUAUCUAAAUUUAUUUAAAUAAUAUUAACUUUAGUUAAUGAUAUAUCAAUAUUCACUUGUCAAAUGUAAUACACAUAUCAACCAGUGCAAG